UGUCAGCGUGUUUUUGAAAGAAA
rnacentral:piRNA from 1 species